GAAGUUAGCGGCGGACGGGUGAGUAACACGUGGGUAACCUGCCCAUAAGACUGGGAUAACUCCGGGAAACCGGGGCUAAUACCGGAUAACAUUUUGAACUGCAUGGUUCGAAAUUGAAAGGCGGCUUCGGCUGUCACUUAUGGAUGGACCCGCGUCGCAUUAGCUAGUUGGUGAGGUAACGGCUCACCAAGGCAACGAUGCGUAGCCGACCUGAGAGGGUGAUCGGCCACACUGGGACUGAGACACGGCCCAGACUCCUACGGGAGGCAGCAGUAGGGAAUCUUCCGCAAUGGACGAAAGUCUGACGGAGCAACGCCGCGUGAGUGAUGAAGGCUUUCGGGUCGUAAAACUCUGUUGUUAGGGAAGAACAAGUGCUAGUUGAAUAAGCUGGCACCUUGACGGUACCUAACCAGAAAGCCACGGCUAACUACGUGCCAGCAGCCGCGGUAAUACGUAGGUGGCAAGCGUUAUCCGGAAUUAUUGGGCGUAAAGCGCGCGCAGGUGGUUUCUUAAGUCUGAUGUGAAAGCCCACGGCUCAACCGUGGAGGGUCAUUGGAAACUGGGAGACUUGAGUGCAGAAGAGGAAAGUGGAAUUCCAUGUGUAGCGGUGAAAUGCGUAGAGAGAUGCAAGUCGAGCGAUGGAGAAAGAGACUUGCUCUUAUGUAGUUAGCGCUGAGGCGCGGAAGCGUGAGGAGCAAACAGGAUUAGAUACCCUGGUAGUCCACGCCGUAAACGAUGAGUGCUAAGUGUUAGAGGGUUUCCGCCCUUUAGUGCUGAAGUUAACGCAUUAAGCAUUCCGCCUGGGGAGUACGGCCGCAAGGCUGAAACUCAAAGGAAUUGACGGGAAACCGCACAAGCGGUGGAGCAUGUGGGCUAAUACCGGAUAACAUGUUGAACUUUACCAGGUCUUGACAUGGUUCGAAAACCCUAGAGAUACGGCUUCUCCUUCGGGAGCAGAGUGACAGGUGGUGCAUGGCUGUCGUCAACUUAUGUCGUGAGAUGUUGGGUUAAGUCCCGCGUCGAGCGCAACCCUUGAUCUUAGUUGCCAUCAGCCAGUUGGGCACUCUAAGGUGACUGCCGGUGACAAACCGGAGGAAGGUGGGGAUGACGUCAAAUCAUCAUGCCCCUUAUGACCUGGGCUACACACGUGCUACAAUGGACGGUACAAAGAGCUGCAAGACCGCGAGGCGGAGCUGAUCUCAUAAAACCGUUCUCAGUUCGGAUUGUAGGCUGCAACUCGCCUACAUGAAGCUGGAAUCGCUA
rnacentral:rRNA from 1 species